rnacentral:rRNA from 1 species
CAACCUAAUCUCAUGCAUGACUACCCGCUGAACUUAAGCAUAUCAGUAAGCGGAGGAAAAGAAACUAACAAGGAUUCCCUGAGUAACGGCGAGUGAAACGGGAACAGCCCAGCGUGUAAUCGCUCAGGUCUUACCUGUAGCGAGGUGUCACGUAUAGGCGCGUCUGUCUGGUUUUCGUUGAGGUCCGAAGUGCGUUCGAACGCGUCUUCCCGUAGUGGGUGCUAGGCCCGUACGGAUCUCGACUUGGCCAGUUGGGCGUGUCUUGGAGUAGAGUUGCUUGGAAGUGCAGCUCAAAGUGGGUGGUAUACCACAUCUAAGGCUAAAUAUGACCAGGAUUUCGAUAGCGAACAAGUACCGUGAGGGAAAGUUGCAAAGAACUUUGAAGAGAGAGUUCAAGAGAAUGUGAAACCACGUGGGGCUAAGCGGAUAGAGUUGACGAAACUGGCAGUGUUCAGUAGUCCUGAUCGGGUUUCGACUCGUGAUGGUCUGCGCAUUCAUUGUUGGUACGUGCUGGGACGUUUGGCGAGCCCUUCUGAAGUUUUCAGAGUCACCCAAGCUUCGGCCUGGUAGUGUUUUGUUGUCGGAAGUUGAUGUGCUUGCUAAGCGUAAUGUUGGCCAUGCCUCUGCGCGUUCGGCUGUUGGUUAGCGCUCUGCUUGGUAGUCGGACAUGUCUGGCUGCCUCGUACGUGUGUUGAUCAGCGGUUGCUCGCCUAUGGUCCAAUCCCGGUAUGUGAAAGUCGACCACCUAUCCGACCCGUCUUGAAACACGGACCAAGAAGUCUAGUAUGUACGCGAGUCAUUGGGUAUCAAAACCUAUUGGCGCAAUAAAUGUGAAGGGCGACUUGUGCGUCUGAUAUGUGAUCCGUCAGUCUCGGCUGGCGGCGCAACAUAGUCCCAUGCCUACUGCUUGCAGUGGUGUGGAGAUGGAGCGUACACACUAGGACCCGAAAGAUGGUGAACUAUGCCUGAGCAGGACGAAGUCAGAGGAAACUCUGAUGGAAGUCCGAAGCGGUUCUGACGUGCAAAUCGAUCGUCGGACUCGGGUAUAGGGGCGAAAGACUAAUCGAACCAUCUAGUAGCUGGUUCACACCGAAGUUUCCCCCAGGAUAGCUGGCACUUAUGUUUGUUGUAUCUUGUAAAGCUAAUGAUUAGAGGAAUUGGGGACGAAAUGUUCUUAACCUAUUCUCAAACUUUCAAUGGGUAUGAUGUCGCGGUUGCUUAAGUGAACCGUGGCUGCGAAAACGAGUGCCAAGUGGGCCAUUUUUGGUAAGCAGAACUGGCGAUGUGGGAUGAACCAAACGUUGGGAUAAGGUGCCUAACUCUCCGCUCAUGAGACCCCAUAAAGGGUGUUGAUUGAUAUAGACAGCAGGACGGUGGCCAUGGAAGUCGGAAUCCGCUAAGGAGUGUGUAACAACUCACCUGCCGAAUCAAUCAGCCCCGAAAAUGGAUGGCGCUUGAGCGGGGGACCUAAGCCCAACCGUUGUUGGCUUGUACGUUUCGUGCGUCUGGCCUCAACGAGUAGGUGUGUCGCGGUGGUUAGCGUCGAAGGCUUAAAGCGUAGGCUUAGCUGGAGCUUCCAUCGGUGCAGAUCUUGGUGGUAGUAGCAAAUAAUCAAGUGAGAAUCUUGAUGACUGAAGUGGAGAAGGGUUCCACGUGAACAGUAGUUGAAUGUGGGUUAGUCGAUCCUAAGAUACUGGCUAAUGCCUUGUAUCAUUGACGUCGAGCUUCGUGCUUCUCGUCUAAUAUCGAAAGGGAAACGGGUUAAUAUUCCCGUACCGGUAAAUGUGAAUUUGUAGGCGCAAGCUUGCAUUGGCGGUAACGCAUUCGAACUUGGCGAUGCCAUGUGUGAUCCGGGCUAGAGAUCUCUUCUCUAGUUAAGGAACGGACUCCCUGGAAACGGUUCAGCCGGAGAUAGGGACGUUGUUUCCGUAUAGCGCCACGGUUUCUGUGGUGUCCCGUGUAUUAUGCAUGGCCCUUGAAAAGCCAAGGGAGCAAUUCAAUUCACAUUACCGAUCGUACCCAUAUCCGCAGCAGGUCUCCAAGGUUCGUAGCCUCUAGUCGAUAGAAUAAUGUAGAUAAGGGAAGUCGGCAAAUUAGAUCCCUACCUUCGGAAUAAGGAUUGGCUCUAAGGACCGGUCUGUACGGGCUUUGUAAUGAAGCUUGGUCGGCGGCGCUUUGAUUGGGCUGGGCUUCGGUUCGGUUUGAUCUAAUGGUGUCGCUGCCUUGUGGACUUGCUUAGCUGCGUGCAUGGGUUUCGGCUCAUGUACUUCGUGCGACACUUAACGGUUGACUUAGAACUGGUACGGACUCGGGGAAUCCGACUGUCUAAUUAAAACAGAGGAGAUAGAUGGUCCUUGCGGACGUUGACUAUCUCUGAUUUCUGCCCAGUGCUCUGAAUGUUAACGUGGAGUAAUCUGCUUAAGCGCGGGUAAACGGCGGGAGUAACUAUGACUCUCUUAAGGUAGCCAAAUGCCUCGUCAUCUAAUUAGUGACGCGCAUG